rnacentral:lncRNA from 1 species
CUGGCUGGAUCCUUUAACCCACUGCACCUGGCUGAGGAUUGAACCUGCACUUCUGCAGCAACCUGAGCCUCUGCAGUCUGAUUCUGAACCCACUGUGCUGCAGUGGAAACUCCCAGGUCUUUUUUUUUUUUUUUUUUUUUUUUUUUUUUUNNNNNNNNNNNNNNNNNNNNNNNNNNNNNNNNNNNNNNNNNNNUUUUUUUUUUUUUUUUUUUUUUUUUUUGUGAAGACAGGCUUGAGGUCCAUUGAUCUUUCUUCGGGAGAAACUACCAGAGAGAAAAAAAAUUCCCAUAAGUGAUGCGACAGUGCCUUAGGAGGCCUGAUUGUCCUGAGUUGGGGAGAGCAGGAACUUGACUGCCUGCCCAACCAGCCUGGCCCAGCCUGGCCUCCCCAGCUACUUCCCCCAUCCACGAUGGUCGAGCCUCCAGGAAGCUGCAGAUUGGUCUGUGUGUGGUUUAAAAACAUACGCCCUGGCUUUGACCAGCUCCUGGCAGGACAAACGUCUGGAGUCUGGAUUUGGGGCCUCUGGCAGAGCUGCGGUGGAGGCAGGAAGGCACAAAGAGCCUGUAAAACGCCUUCUGUACUGAAGUUCCGGAUCUUGCUUCGGGGAAGGGCCUCUUUGCUCUCUCACUGCCCAGCAGUCCAGACAGCAGAGCCUCGGGCGCCUCUGGGAAAACAAGGAGCCCAGAGGCCCUGAAAAAGAUUUUCACAACAGUAUCAUCCCUUUGAAAAAAAAGAAACUUCAAUGUUGAGAGUAGUUUGAUUCUCACCACUUGCAAGGAAGAUGGGGAAGAAGCAGAGGCACCUCAAGACAUCAGAGCCUGUCCCAGUCCCGCAGCUACUGGUCACCAUCCCGGAUUCUGCAGGUGACCUGGUUAUUGCAAUCUUCAGGUGACCCUGUGGCCCCCUGUCCCUUGCUCCUGAAACUCCUAAAGCGAAGACCUAAAUCCAGAGAUACUUACAUUCUUUACUGAGUUGAGAAGAGAGGAUUUGGAAUACAAGUUUGUAAAUCUUCCAGAGCUGUAUGUUUCAGCCCCAAAUGCCUCUUUGAAUGUGCAGAUUUGCUAAUUAAAAG